rnacentral:lncRNA from 1 species
GAGUCGAGCGCCAAAGCCGCCUCCCCGAAAGGGAAAAGGAUGCCUCUCUCCGCCAAGCAACACGCCAGCCUCAGCCCUCACGCCAGCGCUUCCCGACUCCGAGGGCGCGGAGGCCCGGCCCGCCGGGACCUGGGAGACUGGCUUGUUUUACCUCAGGGGUUCAGCAGUCACGGUUUCGCUUCAACGCCUUGUCGGCUUCAGCGAGCGGAGGGCGCCGCUCUGCGCUCCCGGCACCCGGUUACGACAGAAAUGCACCGGCCUCGUCGUCGUCACCGCAGCUGCUGCUGGAUCCUCCCCACAGCUCGAAGGCCGCCGCCGCCGCCGCCGUUCUGUGGGGCCGAGGCUCAGGCAGGAGAAGCGGCGCGGCCUCCCUCUGCCGCGUCCCGUCGUCCACGGGCUCCCUCCGCCGCGGCGCAGGCGCUUCUUGGCCGCGGAGACGCACCUUCGUUGGGGGCCUGUUGCUAAGGCGGUCUCCGUCGUUUGAUCCCGUCUACCUUGUCGUGGGGGGUCCAGGUUAUCGAGUUCUUUGCUUUCCUAGAUGUUUUAUAUAUAAUAGUCAGCAUGCCACAAUGCUUAAAAACAUAAACCCGCGGCCCAGUGGUUGAGUUCCCACGCUCCGCUGCAGGUGGCCCAGUGUUUCGUUGGUUGGAGUCCUGGGCGCAGACAUGGCAUGCUCAUCAAACCACACUGAGGCGGUGCCCCACAUGCCACAAGUGGAAGGACCCACAACGAAGAAUAUAAUACAAAUAUGUACCAGGGUCUUUGGGGAUAAAAAGGAAAAAGAAAAUCUUUAAAAUAAAAACAUAAACAUAUACA